rnacentral:rRNA from 1 species
GACGAACGCUGGCGGCGUGCCUAAUACAUGCAAGUUGAGCGCUGAAGGUUGGUACUUGUGCCGACUGGAUGAGCAGCGAACGGGUGAGUAACGCGUGGGGAAUCUGCCUUUGAGCGGGGGACAACAUUUGGAAACGAAUGCUAAUACCGCAUAAAAACUUUAAACACAAGUUUUAAGUUUGAAAGAUGCAAUUGCAUCACUCAAAGAUGAUCCCGCGUUGUAUUAGCUAGUUGGUGAGGUAAAGGCUCACCAAGGCGAUGAUACAUAGCCGACCUGAGAGGGUGAUGGGCCACCUUGGGACUGAGACACGGCCCAAACGCCUACGGGAGGCAGCAGUAGGGAAACUUCGGCAAUGGACGAAAGUCUGACCGAGCAACGCCGCGUGAGUGAAGAAGGUUGUCGGAUCGUAAAACUCUGUUGGUAGAGAAGAACGUGGGUGAGAGUGGAAAGCUCAUCAAGUGACGGUAACUACCCAGAAAGGGACGGCUAACUACGUG